ensembl:lncRNA
CUUCAUCCUCCACCAUAAGCACAGGAGGCACUGCGCUGUGCUGCAAUGCUCCAGGCCCCUGUACUCCACCUGGGGCAUGGGCUCCAUCCCUGCUCUCCGCAGCCGUUCCAGGGCAUCCGGAGGGAUUGGCUGUGCCCACGGGGGCAGGGGCCACACGGGGGCUGUGGUGAGAAGGGACCCCCCUUGCUGCAUCCCCCACUCCUUGAGACUUCUGGGCAGAGGCUCCCCACACUCCUCGCAGUGUUCCUCACUGCCACAACGUUUGGGCAGCCACACGUUUUUGCCCCACGUGUGCAGCGUCUUCCCACCGUUGGACAGCUCAAAGAGCAACCCAACCUUCAGCUUCACCUCCUCCUCCUGCACCACCACAUCCAGGGAGUAGAGCAAGGCAGUCAGCGUGGCCGUGGCGGCUGAGGAGCUGCUGUGGUGUGGGCAGUUGUUGUCCAGGCACUGACAGCACUGCAUGCAGAUGAGGUAUUCGCUCCUGUAGCCCCCGCGUGCCCUUUGAGCACCUCUGUCAUUGUUUUUUCCCAUUUUGGCCAGCAGGCCGAAGCAGAUUUGAGUGGUGUCCAAAGACUCCAUCAGGAAUCUGGAGAGGUCCUCCAUGCUGGAAGUGGAGGGUAGGUUCCCAUGGAGCUCUGAGCUGGCGGCUGGACUCGAAGUUCCUCCUUGUCUCCCCCAUGGCAAGCUUCUUCCAGAGGCUGAUUUUCUUUGCAGUCUGCUUCUGUGCUGUCGCUUUUGAUGUGACCUCAACCAGCUGAAUUUGGAACUCCUGGUGGGACGGCGGGUUCUGCUGUUGGGCAGGAAAGGAGCAGCACCAUCACUCAGGUCUUCCGUCAUAAUGCCCUGGCAGCGCUGGGAUGCUCUGGCCCUCAGGGGCUCUUGGGGACAUGGGGAGAGCCCAUCCCAGGCUGUGCCCAGGCAGCGUUUGGAUGACACCAGCUGGCUCCUACCUUGUCGUUGUUGUGAUGCCUCCUGGCCAUGAGGAUGGCCAGCACUGCUAUGCCCAGCAGAAUAAUGAUGCAGAACACCCUGUGGCCCCAGCGACCCCAGAUGCUGAGGGCUGGGAGGAUUGUCAUGAUUGCCAGAAUCCAUAGCUUCAUCUUCUGCUUGGAAGUCAUAUUAAGUGUGUGGCCACCAGCAUGACCACACAGCUCUUAACAACAGCCCUGUGAUGGUGGAAUGGACACGACCAGCCCGAAAGGUGUCUGGGCUCUGGGAUUUUGGAG